rnacentral:tRNA from 1 species
GCUCCCGUAGCUCAGCGGUGAGAGCGUGGUACUUAUAAUGCCAAGGUCGCGGGUUCGAUCCCCGCCGGGAGCA